AACCAAUGAAGCCAAUGAAUAUGUACAGGUGAUUAUCAACGUAGGUAGGAACGGUAGGAACGUGUGCCCCAAGUGGUCCCUGAGCGCCCAGCGCUCCGCUAUAUAAGCGAUUAGAGAGAUUAGAGGACCAUUAGAGGAAGGUGAAGAUACGUGAAGGAAUGAUCGUUUUUCGCAAGAACCCAGGACCCACAGGACGCACAGGACUGCGCAAUAGCCAUUCUCAAGGUCAUCUCCAGCCCGGGAACAGGUACUGUAGAUGUAGAUUACAAAAUUAUCCCCCACCUAGAAGGCUGCGGUAUAACGUUAAUAGAGCUGUUCAACCAACUGUACCAAGAGAGAAUCGUAUGGGCUUUUCUUCAUAAAGAAAGUGGGCAGCGUGAACCUCAGACCAGUCUCACUUGACUGGUGUCUCUAUAAGCUGUUAGAAAGACUGGUCAGCAUUUGACUCCUGUGGUGGUUGGAGCACCAUCAAAAGAUCCCGGGAUCACAGUUUGGCCUCUGCAAAAGGAACUCAUGCACACAUAAUGGGGAGAUCAUUAACGCUGUCAUAAAAGACAGGGGGACCACAGCUGCCUUCCGGACAUGAGACAGCAUCCAGUAAAGUACUCCCAGACAUCCUGGACGAAAAAUUAAAAUAUGUUGGAAUUUCCCUGAAGCCAUGAGCCCUGGUACAGAAAGAGUGCUUCACUUCAGAUACGGUGCCCUAGAUGAAAUAAGUGUACCACGCAGAAGAAUCCACCUGGCAAAUGUGUAUAUCUGCAGAGUGUAGACACAGUGAUACAAAUCUAUUUUCCCAACUUUGGGGUCAUUCCAACACUGGGAAAAUUGUAUGUGACAUGCUGGGAGGCUGAUGGACAGCUUGGAAGCAGAAACCUCUACAGGAAAUAGGAAGCUGUGGAUCCUCUUGUUGUUAGUUUCAAAGAGACCUCUGAGGGAGAAAAUGAUUCAUAUGACUGGCAAGUUCUACUUGGGUCCUCCAUAUUGAGGGUUGGAUGCAAGAAAGAUGACCCUGCUCUGUAAAAAAACUGCAAAAUUCAAAGAAGUGAAAACUGGAUGGUUUGAUCCAUGUCAGAUAAAUCUGGCAGAAUCUUCUAAGGAAGACUAUAGCUAAAGAAAGGUUGGUUUGCCAAUCAUGAUGAUGAUGAAAAAGAAGAGACGAAGAAUGGUUUUCCUACGUGGAGAUUAAGAAAUUACAUGUCACCUGGAGUUGUUGGUAAAAAAAGAAGCAUGCUUUAUUUAAAUUCUUGGGAAAAAAGAUUCAUAAGCUUUUAGAAUUUGGUGUACCUUCAUGAAGCAGAAUUUCUGAAGGAGUAAGGAUGGAUCAGUAGUACAAAAUGAAGGAAAACAUAAAAAAUAUUAUUUUCAAUCAAAAUAACGGUAAAAUUAUUCCCAAUAAAAGUUAUCCAGUACGUUAAUAAAAUUUUGCAAUACUAUACAUACACACAUUGUAUGUACAUCAGACACACAUGCCCACUGCCAUCUAGUGAGAAAAGUGUUAACUCAGAACAUAGAAUUCCCUACUGGCAUAUGGUUACUGGAAGCAUGUUGAAAAUAUAAUGUAGUAAAUUUUUAAUGAUGACCGAACAAUAUACUUCACAAACUGGUGAUGAUGUGUCCUGGUUCGUCCUUUGGUACAACUUCAGCAGUCGGUGUAGAGUAGUGAUACAGAACUUUGUAAUGUAGUCACUAAUGAAAUGGUACUAUGUAAAAGUAUGUAAACAUAAGAAGGUGUAUGGUUCAAAUGUAGUACUGUGAAUAUAGAGCUGUGCUGGGUAACUUAUAGAAGCUGAAAUCUCAGUAUGAAUAAAAUAACUUUAACCCUUUCAUUCCAAAUUGUCCCACUGCUUAACCUGGCAACCACAUUGAGAUCACUACAGGGCCAAGAUCACCAGAAAAAGGAAAGUCACUGCCUUUCAUAUUUCCAAGAGUCAAACUUGGAACCAAGACAGAAAGGGCAAAAAUGAGGAUAACAUUCUGCUGAAUUAUAAUUAAUAGCAUGUUAAAAGUGUACCAGAAUUCUGAAAUUAUCACUGUUUUCCCAAGAAGAUAAAUUUAUUUUAAGCUUGGAAUUCAUCUUCAUCAUUUACAACAUUUGUUCAUUGUCACACAAAUUUUAGUAACAUGAAAUAAUAAUUGCUGUCAUUUUCAUAAAAAUUAAAAAAUAUUGCUUUCUACAUUGUAAUAAUUCAGAUGUAAAUAAUCAUAACUAAGUGCAUUUUUAAUAAAAUGUUUUCUGAGUAAUAACAUGGAAAAGACAUAGAACAAUAUUUAAUUUAUCCUUUUGUAUUCCUAUGUAAUUUGUUCUCUAACUUACAAUGUAGUCUUGUGGAACGAAUGAACAUUACAUUUGGUAACAUAAACACAUGCUCAUGGAGAUCAAGAUUGAAGCACAAAUGUAUUAUGAAGUUAUGAAAAUAAGUAGCAUUGCUUCCUACAAAGUUGCACAAUAAGGCCUCAAAGGAAGUGGUCUUAGAACAAACUUCAGCAUGGGCAAAGUGUGCUUAGAAACUCAACCUUUAUUUUCCAUUGAUUAACUUGUAAUUUUACUCUUCUUUAUUUUCGGGAUUAGUGUUAAUGGUUGAAGAAAGCCUCUGAUUCAGUUAGGAGGGACGUAUUAUAUAAUAUUCUCAAGUUUGGGGUAUCC